AGCUCCCAGGAGCCCUAAAGACAGAUGUCGCGAUCCUCAUCACUCCUGAGGAGGAAGAGUCAGGGAGGCUACGGUCUCAGGCCCAAGUUCAAGAGCCCAGUGGAGUCAUUGUUGAGGGAGGGGUCUGAACCCACCAAUCAGGUCUCAGCAGAGAUGCCUCCUCCUCCAAGAAGCCAUCCUGGACCCACAGGCUUAAGCUCCCAAAAAGCCCUGUGCCUCUCCCCUUGUGGCUCUGUCACACUGUAGGGUGGCUCAGUGAGGAUGACGCGGCCCAGGGCUCUCCCGAGGACAUGCUUCACGUGGUGCUCCAGAAAUGACUGCUAACCCCACUAUUAUUCAUCCC